ensembl:lncRNA
CUUAUAAACUGAUGCCUGCUGUAGCAGCAUCUGAACAAGUGAGAACUACAGCUCCUGUGAAUUCUGCACACCCUUUUUACCAAGAGGACAGGAUAUAGAGAAAGGAGAGUCUUUUUCCAGAGAAAAUGAAGGGAAACCACAGUGCCAUCCUGAUUCAAGAGUUCAAGAACAGAAGAGGUGAUGGGCGAGAACUGCAAUGAUUUGAGACCUGACAAGUACACUACUGAAGUCUUUGUUUGGGUAGGAAGAUCCAGCCAGUGAGGGGCCUCCCAUCAUCUGUGACCAGCAUGGUCUGCAAUUUUCAUAAUUCUUUUGGCUCUGUUACCCUGGUGGGACCAGCACUGUUGGUUAUAGAACCAAAGUCAUUUCUCCUCAUUCCCCCUUCCUGCUCUCCUAAUCCAAAUGUCAACCCACCAUGAGUUCCAGGUACACAGGGUUCUUUGGUAGACCCAAAGUCCAAAGUUGAAGAAAGAGAUCCAGGUGUUAAAUACAGUGCCUGAACCAACACCCAAAUAUUAAUUUUAGUGUCUUAGUUAAAUGUGCCAAGACCACAGCUACCUAGACACAAAUUACCCAGCCAGCUUUCUAGAAGAAGUGGCUUUCAUUUGGGUGCCAGAUACAGGAAGAUGGAAUCCUCUGUCACCAAACUUAUGCUAUUCAAAAUACAAUGUUCCAGGCAUCACAAUUGGAUGGAAUCUCUAUUCCUAAACUCCAAAAAUCCAUCAAAAUCAUGCCACAAUUUAAUUUACUUUUUAUUUGAAUCCUGGCUUUUAGACAAUGCUAUAAACACUGUAACUGGUUGCAAAUAGUUGAAACAGAUUAACUUUAAAAUUUGAUUGCAAGGAUCUAGGGUUAAUUCUCAAAAGGAAUAGCUAAAGAUGAACCAAACUUUCAAGAUAUUUAGACUAUGAAACUACUGAGAAUGUUCAUUAUUGGAAGAGCCAUCUUGGAUCCAGGUGAGGACCAGGUCAUCUCGACUGACAAUUUCAGGGAGGUUGUAUGCAAUGAGCAAAGGAUGAUUCUCCAAAUCAAAGUUCUUUUGCCAUCACCAGACAAAAGAACAAAAGCAGCGUGGACAAAUAGCAGCAUCCAUGAUUACAGUAGUACGUGUCACAUUUUAAUUAAUGAAUAGCUUAGAAAUUAUCCAUUUGAUACUGUUUUCCCCAAUAGAUUUUAUGUGCCACAAGGAGAGUUUACACAUAGUGUUUGUUCUGUUAAUCCACGUCCCUAGGAGAGUGUCUGCACAUAGUAAGCACUUCUUCAAUAUUGUGGAACAAAGGAAAUGUUACAGGCUGCUGGAAUAUACUGUAAAUAUAAUAUUUGUAUCAGUUUAUUUGAUUAAAAACUAUUUUAAGGUAGCUGAAUUGCAUAUUAAAUAAGACACUGCUCUUUCCAAAUGCAUGUUGCCAUG